rnacentral:lncRNA from 1 species
GGAGGAGAAGCUUGAGCAGAAGAUACAAGAUAUCGAGCACCACCUUGAUGAGGUUCGAAAUGGAAGCCACCAAAAUGAUGAUGGCCUCAGCUUUAACUCUCGACCCCCUUUUCUCUCAGACUAGAUUGAGAAAACCAAUUCUGAGUUGGUUCAAAAUGCCUUAGGUGGAGCCAUACGAUGGCUCCUCUGAUCCCCUCGACCACUUGAAGAGUUAUAGGACCCUCAUGAUGUUGUAGGGCACCUUGCAUGCCCUCCUUUGCCUCGCUUUCUAAGCCACACUCAAAAAAUCAGUGCGAGCAUGGUGUUAGGAACUUCAGUCAGAGUCUAUUUAUUCAUUCGAGCAGCUUGAAAGACUAUUUGUCAUCCACUUCUACAAUAAUUGAGUUUAGUUGAAGAACAUCAAUAGCCUCUUCUCCAUCCAACAAGAAGAGAACGAGUCACUGUGCAGCUAUGUGGUACAUUUCAAUGUCACCAUCCUUAAUGUGUGCAAUCUUGAUGAGUCAGUAGCGAUGUUGGCACUCAAAUGAGGACUACGAAAUGAGUGACUCAUCUUCUUCCUUAAUAAAAUUUUUUCGAG